rnacentral:rRNA from 1 species
AUUGAACGCUGGCGGCAUGCCUUACACAUGCAAGUCGAACGGUAACAGGUCUUCGGAUGCUGACGAGUGGCGCACGGGUGAGUAAUACAUCGGAACGUGCCCGAUCGUGGGGGAUAACGAGGCGAAAGCUUUGCUAAUACCGCAUACGAUCUACGGAUGAAAGCGGGGGAUCUUCGGACCUCGCGCGGACGGAGCGGCCGAUGGCAGAUUAGGUAGUUGGUGGGAUAAAAGCUUACCAAGCCGACGAUCUGUAGCUGGUCUGAGAGGAUGAUCAGCCACACUGGGACUGAGACACGGCCCAGACUCCUACGGGAGGCAGCAGUGGGGAAUUUUGGACAAUGGGCGAAAGCCUGAUCCAGCCAUGCCGCGUGCAGGAUGAAGGCCUUCGGGUUGUAAACUGCUUUUGUACGGAACGAAAAGCCUCUUUCUAAUAAAGAGGGGUCAUGACGGUACCGGAAGAAUAAGCACCGGCUAACUACGUG